AACAGGAUUAGAUACCCUGGUAGUCCACGCCCUAAACGAUGUCUACUAGUUGUCGGGUCUUAAUUGACUUGGUAACGCAGCUAACGCGUGAAGUAGACCGCCUGGGGAGUACGGUCGCAAGAUUAAAACUCAAAGGAAUUGACGGGGACCCGCACAAGCGGUGGAUGAUGUGGAUUAAUUCGAUGCAACGCGAAAAACCUUACCUACCCUUGACAUGGCUGGAAUCCCCGAGAGAUUGGGGAGUGCUCGAAAGAGAACCAGUACACAGGUGCUGCAUGGCUGUCGUCAGCUCGUGUCGUGAGAUGUUGGGUUAAGUCCCGCAACGAGCGCAACCCUUGUCAUUAGUUGCUACGAAAGGGCACUCUAAUGAGACUGCCGGUGACAAACCGGAGGAAGGUGGGGAUGACGUCAAGUCCUCAUGGCCCUUAUGGGUAGGGCUUCGCACGUCAUACAAUGGUACAUACAGAGCGCCGCCAACCCGCGAGGGGGAGCUAAUCGCAGAAAGUGUAUCGUAGUCCGGAUUGUAGUCUGCAACUCGACUGCAUGAAGUUGGAAUCGCUAGUAAUCGCGGAUCAGCAUGUCGCGGUGAAUACGUUCCCGGGUCUUGUACACACCGCCCGUCACACCAUGGGAGCGGGUUUUACCAGAAGUAGGUAGCUUAACCGCAAGGAGGGCGCUUACCACGGUAGGAUUCGUGACUGGGGUGAAGUCGUAACAAGGUAACC
rnacentral:rRNA from 1 species